UUAAUUUGAGGACUUUAGCUCUGAGAGGUUUCAGGAUUCAGUCCAAAAUGCAGAAAACAAUAAAAAGCUCAAAAACAAUGGACAAGACUAGAAUCUAACAACAGGGUCUCAAGCCACCCAGGCUGGAGUGCAGUGGCACAAUUAUGGCUCACUGUAGCCUCACCUUCCUGGGAUCAAGCAAUCUUCUUUCUUCAGCCUCCAGAGGAGCUGGGACCACAGAUCCUUUGGCAUUUGAGAGUUGCUUUGUGUAUACGGUCCUUUAACGGAGCAAAUGGCCAGCCAGGAAACCAAAGUAUGGACAAGGGGAAAGAAGCGUCUGUGGAGGAAGUUUUACAAGCGCCCUCCUCAUCCAUUUGGGUGGUGUUGCCCAUAUGCUACAUGUCUGUGGACCACUAUGUGUGUUUAAAGCUUUUUAGUAAAACGUUACUAAAAA
rnacentral:lncRNA from 10 species